GCCUCCACCCUCUGGGGCCAUCCUGCUGCUGGGCCGUGUCCCGAUGCCCUUCCUGACCGAGGGCCCUGGUGACCGGCCCUCCCGCCCUGGCUCGGUCUAUGCGCUGGAACCACAGGUGAGCUGUUGUCCCCGGAGCGGGGGAAGGGGGAAAGGCGAGGUCGGCUGGUGCAGGGCCCUGCUGUUGCCCGUCUCCACCCAGGGCCUCUGGCGGCUGAGCCGGCACCCAGACCCGUUUCCCAACUGAGCAGGCAGCUGACUUGGGGAAGCUGUGCAGUGGGCUCAGGUUUUGGGGUGCUGUGUGAGCAUAGCGCCACAGGCGGACCGGGCUCAGAGACCCUCAGGAACAGGGAGGCACCUGUGCGUGGUGGCCUCAGCCCGGCCCCGCACUUGGGGUGGGGCUGGCGCAGGGGGCGCAGCGGGUGCAGGGCAGCCGGUGAGGCCGGGUGGGCACUGGAGACUGCAGGCCCUAGGUGCACACCAGCACGUGCCAGAAUGAGGGGGAGCCGCUGGCGCCUGUCCUCCCUGGGGCUGGGUCCGGCCCACGCCAGUUCUAGAAGGCUCUUGACACCACUUCCGACCUGACCCCAUCCGCUCUCUGUGCAGCCCCCAGACCUGGGGUGGGGGGCCAGGCGCUGGACGCACGCCGUCCUCCCACACAGCGCUAUUCAGAGGCCCGGGCCGAGCGCCACGCAGGUCCAGGCGUGGCCGGGCACUGCAGCCAGCUGUGCUCCGG